UCUAGAAUGCAAAAUUACUUUGAGUGAGUAUGCAUUCACAGAAUGCCAUAAAUGGAUGGACUAUUAGAGUUCAGUCUUCUUAUCUAUCCAUCUUGUUUUCAUUUAUUGCACACCAGGCAUUUAUCAAGUUGCUUGCCGAAGAACUAAAGAUGAAAGCACAGGCCUUUGAAUGAACAAUUCACACUUUAUUAGGAGUGGCGGGAGGCAGAAAAGGGAGUAAUCACCGGCACUGUCCACUAUGAAGCUUCAUACUAGGUUGUCUCUCAGUGUACAACAUCUGCAAAUGGGCAGACCCGGAUCCAUCCAGGGAAAGCUUCCAGAAGGAAGCAAAGUCUGAGCCUGUUGGAGAAUUAUAAGAUGUGAGCCAGGUGAACAUGUAGAAGGAGGGCAGAGAGGAAUACAAGACACAAUUAUAAAAUCCGGAGCUUAGUAGAAGGAGCACGUUCAGGAAAAUAUAGUUUUGGAAUGACUGGGCUGCCGGAGACUUCUUGAGAAAGGACGAUAGGCAUCUCCCAUUCCUGUAGUUUCCUCCACGCCAAGCUAAAGAGUUGGACCUUCAUAUGAAAAUUACAGGAAACCCUUGGAAGUCUUUAACUCAGAGAGCAACAGGAUGCGGCUACGUUUUCGUAAGCUGCUGCUGAUCGCAAUAUAAAAGAUAAAUUUGGCAGAGGUUGGGGUGUUUAGAGAGGUGAGACUAGAAAAAUAGCAACCAGAGAGGAGCUUCUUAUAAUAAACCCAGUAAAAAAAAAAGAUGAGGUCCUGAGUCAAGACAGCCUAGGUAAGAGUGGAAAGUCAAGAUGCACUGAAAACCAUUAAGGCGAGAAAAUGGAUACUCCAGAGGACAGAGGGGCCUAAAGAUGUGAAAUUAAUCAACCUGGGCCACGCACUUAAUGAGUACCAGAGCUGCGAUUGAAACCAGGUGCCCACCUCCAGUCAAGGAACAUUUCUGCGACACCACUCUGCCUCUCCGAGUCUAUGCUUUGACAAUGACAAUAAUUAAAUUUAAGAUGGAUGGUCUAUUUAUAGCAAAGGGCUCUAUUUAAGAGACCACAUUUUUCCUCAUUAUCGAAGGCAAGUAAAUGCAGGUGUUGAUUCAAAUAGAAUAGGAUGCUAGCAACUCCCUCAAUGCUUGAACUUCUUGAAAACAAAUAGGCGUUGGCUGUCCUUGAUUUAACCGUAGAACAGGUACCACUUCCCUUCACCAGUGAGCAAGGUGACGAUAGAUUUCCUGUCCUGUCUCCCCUGGACUUUUUGUUAACCCAAAGCAACUCGUCAGAAGGUACUAAUUCCAAGAAAGAGGCAUCUCCAAUCAAGCCCUUAUUCCUAAAGAAAUUUUGGGGGAGUAUAUAGGAGUAGGAAUCAAGGAAAGCAGUGGGGUAGCAGUAAAUUACUACAUCUCUGCAUAUGGCUCCUCCUUAGGCAAAUGCAGAGAUUAUGUGAAUGCCGCAUCUUUACUGCAAGGUACAAAUGGAGGGAAACGUGUGAAAGGGCUUGUAGGAAAGGAAUGUGUGAAAAUAGGGAAACUGAAAGUUAGGAGUUGUUACCAUUCAUUCCUCCAAAGUGAAGAUGCUUUAAAAAUAAGUUAUUUUAUGUUUUGUUUUGGAAGGAUUCCAGAGGUAUGACGUUUCUUUGCCCAAACAUCUGUUUCUCCAAAUAAAAGGAGUCCCAGAAGAAGAAGUAGAGAGAAAAGGGGGCAGAAAAUUUAUUUGUGGAAAUAAUAGCUGAAAACUUCCCUAAUCUGUGGAAUGAAACAGACAGAUACAGAAGGCACAGAGAACUCCCAUCAAAAUCAACAAAAGCAGGCCAACACCAAGUCAUAUUAUGAUUAAAUUUGCAAAAUAUAAUGAUAAAGAAAAAAAUCUUAAAAGCCGAAAGACAAAAGAAGACCUUAACUUGAAAGGGAAGACCCAUAAGGCUAGCUGCAGAUUUCUCAACAGAAACUUGGCAAACCAGGAGUGGCACGAUAGAUUCAAAGUGCUGAACGGGAAAAAUCUGCAGCCAAGAUUACAAUCUUCUUCACUGCUUCUUUGGGUUCAUGAAACUGCUGCUAUUCUAUUGUUUUUGACUCAAAAACAGCAAUUUCAUGUGGUUCAAACUUUAUAUGCUUUAACACUUAGAAGAAAGAGUACCUGUCUGAAUACUAAACACAAUUAUAUGUCUUAGGCUCUCUUUAUCAAGCAUACUUCUGUGAACACAAUCAAAUGUUAAUGAUGGUCUAAUUUAUUUUUAUUAAAAUGAUCCAUUGUAUAAGCA